rnacentral:lncRNA from 1 species
AUACAUGCCUGGUGCCCUGGGAGAAUAAAGAGGGUGUUGGAUCCUCUAGAACUUGGGUUAUGGAUAACUGGAAGUCACAACGUGGGUCUUCUGCAAGAGCGACAAGUGCUCUUAACCACUGAACCGUCUCUCUGGUCCCUUUGCCAAAUUCUUAAGAAGGUUUAGGCAGAAAUUUAGUAAGAAGUCUCCAGUUGGGGGCUAGAGAGGUGGCUCGGUGGUUAAGGCUACCGAGUGCUCUUCAGAGGCCUUGAAUUUAGCACACAAGCACUGUGACUCCGACUUUAGGGCAUUUGAUGAGCUCCUCUGCCCUUCACAGGCACAUACAUAAACUCUGUCUUAAAGAAAAAGGUUUCCAUUGCUAUAGAAUAACCUUUGUCUUCUCUCUCUCCUAAGGAAGCUCGCUUUUUGGUUAGAUCCAUAGAGCACCUGAGGCACAUUCUUAAUCCGCAUGUUCAAAAUGGCAUCUCGUUGAUGAUGUGGAACACAUUCCUGGUGAAAAGGUUUUCUGCUGCUACCUACUUAAUGGAUAAGGUGAGGUGGUCUUAAUUUUCACACACUGAUUUCUUAAUUUAGUUCCCUUCAUUACUUGGUAUUAGAAAGGUUGCUUACACUGGGGUGUGUAGACAGUUGGUGGACUGUGUUUCUGGUUGUCAGUUGAACUGUGUUUUUCUCCUGCUCAGUUAAAUGUACUUCCUUGGAGUAAUAUUUUACAAUUACAUAAUUAUAGUAUUAAAAAAUAUAAUUAAAAU